GACAGAGAUCCCAAGCGUUAGGCGGAAUCACUGGGCUUAAAGCGUGUGUAGGCGGAUUUGUAAGUACCUUGUGAAAUCCCACGGCUCAACCGUGGAACUGCUUGGUAUACUGCUUAUCUUGGGCCAUCUAGGGGCGAGCGGAACAAACGGUGGAGCGGUGAAAUGCGUAGAUAUCGUUUGGAACGCCAAUGGUGAAAACAGCUCGCUGGGGAUGUGCCGACGCUGAGAUACGAAAGCCAGGGGAGCGAACGGG
rnacentral:rRNA from 1 species